AUGGCGCGAUGCACUGUGACUUCUUCCUCUUCAAGUUGUAUGUCCACUGUUCCAUCGAUCACGUUUUAUACCUUUCCAUGGCUCAGUCUCCUUGUCCAGCCUUCGUGGUCUUUUUUGUGUGCAUGGCUACUGGCAGGCCAGCUUGAGCAGAUGGGGAAGGUGGCUGUAGGGAGAGGCCUGCUGGAGAGGGUUCGGGUAGCCUGGCAUAGGUCAUUGAUGUGACUGAUGGGGUGAUGGGAUGGUGUGAGAGAGGGCAGCUCCCGGGCCCCUCUGGAGAGAUGGGGGACAAUUUGGGUGUAGCACUGGCACCUCACUGGCCUCUGUAGGUGUUGGGGGGGCAUCCACUGAGAGCAGGGGCAGAACCACUCAUUCACCUUGAGGCUUCCUUCAUUUGGAAUCUAGAUAGGCCCCAUGCAGGAGGAUAAUAAGCAGCUCUGAUUGCUAUGAAUUGGAAUCGACUCAGCGGCACUGGGUUUGGGUGUUGGUUUAUAGGGAACCUUUUGGCCAGCAGGUUUCUAGGCCAGGGAAGGGGCUUUGUGGCAUUGUUCCCUGGGGGCCCAGCAGACAGCCUGGUCUUGUCCUCUAGCCAGCUCUGGCUGCAACCUUGAGGGGUUGCCCAGGCUUGUCCGGGGUGUGGCCAGGCCUAAACUAAAUGAGGUGCUUCUGCCUCUCCUCCCUCCGGAUGUCAUGGGAGAGUGACUAGCCUCAGCUUUCUCGAUUGGUGGCAAGGGACUUGAGAUUGAGUCAGGGGCCAGGGCUAAGGGUUGAGGGGCCACAGAAGCUGCUCCAACUGUCCAAGGAGCCAGGAGAGUUUCUGCAACUGCCUCCCUCCAUCAACAGUGCUUCCUGCAUGGGCUUCAUGUGCUUUGUCUUACUACCAGAUCCAGCCUCAGCAUGCCCCUCCCACAGAUCCAGGGAGAAGCUUGUUUGUCCUAGCAAGAUCACUCCUUCCUGCUUUGGGGAGGGGCAGGGCCCUGAACCCUGAAUGGAAUUAGCUGCCCCGCCCAUCUGGCUGUCUCUCCCUGGCUACCCAGGCUGAAUAGCGGCUUCUGGGGUGAGUGGGGGGUGACAUUCCCCAGAGGCGCCUGGAGACAGCAGCCUUUCAGGGCGGGGGGUGGGAGUGUCAUUUGAAUGAGAACUGGAUCCUUUCUGUUGCUUUGGGUUUGUCUGAACCUGGGCCCCAUUAGCCUAGCGCCAGCCGCCCUGGACGGUGGACUUGUGGAGAAGCUGUACUUGCUUCUUGGUGCUCCUCCUUUCUUCUGCAUCUGGUGGCUGCUAUUUACAUCCUCUUCUGGGUAUAUCCCUCCCACCCCUGACUCCCCAGGCUCUGGGGACUCCCUUGCUACCAGCUGCACUGUGGCCCUACCACCCUGCAUGCUCCUUGCCUUUGGCAGCUCUGCUUCCACCUACAAUGUGAGUACUGGGGAUGACGUGGGGGCCACACUCAGCCAACAGGGCUGGCCUAGCUUGUCCUCACUCUGCAUCUUCUCUCUCAGGCCUGUUUCCAGCGCCCAGUGUCCAAGACUUCCAGCCAGUCUGGGCCUCGUCCUUCCAGUUUUUAUGCUACUGUCACAGAUGGGUGAGGGGUCAGCUCUUUUCCAGAGAGCUAGUUUUUUUUAUUAGAGGAGGCGAAAUUUCCAGGCCUUUUGGUGGGGCGAGGUGAGGGAUACUCCUAGGACAUGUACUUAGGGCCUGCCCUCCCAGUCCAGGCUCCCAGAACCACUGCCCAGGAGAUGCCAGACAGCAUUUCCCCACCCAGUUGCUCAAGCGGCAGUUGCUACCCACCCCCUGGCAACCUGGUUGUUGUCCAUGGCCACAGCCUCUGAGCCUCAUCUACCUGUGGCCUCCAUGACCCUGAGCCCUACUGUGUUAUCAGCUGCCUACAGGUGGGGAGGAGGGUCAGGGCUCUUGAGACCGUCUUUGGAGUAUGGGGAUGGUAGUGUGGGUGUAUCCUGGAUGGGUUCACCCCUGUGAGGGUCAGAUCACUUUUGGAGGCUGGAGGGAGAGGGCUGCACUGUGAGAUUUUGGAGUGGGGACUGACCUUUUACUUCUUGCCCAGUCAGCCUGUUUGGGCCCUCCCAGGACUCUGAGAAUGCUUCUUCUGUGACUCUUGGGCUCAGCGAGGCCACAGUGUUUGAGAAUGUGAUCUCCCAAAGUGGCCAUGGUGACAAGAAGACCUGGUGGCAGGCAGAGAGUGGUGAGGGUGCCAGUGGGCCCCUGUGUGUGGGUCUGGGGUCUGGGGUCAGGGCUCAGUCCCUCUGAUCAGUUCUUGUGGCUGCAGGUGUCGAGAAUGUCACCAUCCAGCUGGACCUAGAAGGUGUCUUCUACUUUAUCUACCUUGUCAUGACUUUCAAAGUGACUCAGUGCCCCAACCUGAAGGCUUGCUAGGCAAGCUCUGAACCUUGUGGCCUCCCUACCUGAUGGCCACUAGUGACCCUUGCCCCUGAUGACGAAAGGGCUCCUUCUGUCCCCAGACAUUCCACCCAGCAGCUCUGCUCCUUGACGGCUUGGUGAACUAUGGCCAUUCCUGGCACGAUAUUUUGCCCACAACUGCUCAGGCCUCUUCUCUGGGAUCCCUCUUGCACCUGGCCACAGGGUCAGUGACCUCAUCUGUGACCAGCAUUACUUGCACAUCAAACCUUCCACUGAGGGUGAGGUCAGGCCCAGGGGGAAGGGGAGUAGGGCCUUGGGGUGAAGUCAGUCUUAGGCCUGCUUCUUCCCCUCAGGUAAUUUUCAAAGUUCUGGACCCAGGCAUUCGAGUAGAGGACCCAAACAGUCCCCAAAUUCAGCGUAAUCAUCCCCCAUAGCCAAUCCUGUACCCCUUACAUGUCAGGUUAGAGCUAGAUCCUGGGAGGAAGUGAGGCCCUACCUGGGGGCGUGCACCAGUGGGGCAGAGUGGGCUGGCAAGCCAGCUCAGUCCCGCAGCCUCAUCUCUUCAUCACCCGCACUGUCCCAUCACUGUCCCCUAUCAGGCUCCUCUAUUGUCAUGGCCCUCCAUCUCUGUCCCAUUAUUACUUCUUAUCUCUGCUCCCUAAUGUAAAGGGACUGGCAUGGGGAGCAAUCCCCACCGCUGUCCCUUACCUCUGCCCUAUUGCUGAACCACUCCAUGAGACCCCAUUACUGCUCCCCAUGCCAGCCCCCAUCACCAUCCCCCAUCUCUGCUCCCAUCACUGUCUCUCAUAACCUUCCACUUUGUGGGCCCCAUCCCCCAACACUGCUCCUCAUCACUGCCUCUGUUAUGGUCCACCUGUCGUUGCCCUCCUUUCAUUCAAAGCCUUGGUCUCUGUUGGUGCCCUUUGUCCCUGCAGCUGCCUCUAGGUGGCACCAAGGUAUCUUUGGAUUUGUCCCCUUCCCUGAAAAGCAGAAGUCUUUUGUUAAAGGACAAGAGAGCCACAUAACCAUAACCUGGCAGGGCAGCCGAGAGCCAGGCCAGGAGGGUACCAGAGCAGGAGGACAAACCCCAAACUAGCUUUUUCUUUACCUCUGCUGGGUGCUUUCCAGCCGACCCUAAGUCCCCAUGCUGGCAGCUGCUGCAUGUGCCUCUACUCGGGAGAGAGUGGAGGCCUGGCAGAGGAGAGAUGCAGGAGGUAGUCUCGGCUUGGUAACUAAAUUGAGCUGUGGAGCAGGGAGAGGAGCCCUGGACCUAUCUCUCCAUCCAUGUGUUCAUUUAACAAAUGCCCAUUUAGCCCUGCCCUAUGCCAGGCAUCAUCUGGGCAAUGAUCUGUGGGGAGCAGACAAGGUAUCUGUCUCCUUGGAGCUGAUGUGAAAGUGAGAAAGACAGUUGCUAAAUAAGCAAACAAAUACCUUAUGCCAUUUGGCUAGAUGAUGAGCCGAUUUCUAGUUUGGAUGACAGACUGGGGAGUGGAAUUCUUUAUUGCUUUGGGAAAGUAGGUUUGAGGUACCUGAAGACACCAGAAUGGGGUGUCCAAGAAGUAGUAGGAUGUGCAGGUCCCAGCCCAGUAGUGACAUUGGAAUGGGCAAAAGGGAUCUUCAGUACAGAGGUGGGAUUCUCACUGUGGGGAGGCUGUCAUCAUCCUGGGAGGGGAGGGUGUUCCUAGGGGCACAGGGAGCAAGGAGCCCCACAGCAUGGGUGCUGGAAUAGGCGGGCUACAAGGAAUGGGAGGAAAUUCUCCCAUUCCCCUCCAUCCCAUCCAUGGUAGGGUGAGGACCAAGGCACCUGAGGUCUGGCUGUAUGUCCCCAGAGCUCCUGUGCGUGAUCAACCUCCGUGUGAACUUCUCUAAACUGCACACAUUGGGUGACAGGCCCGUCCCGUAGGGGGCCUCAAGGGAUGACCUUUCUACUAUUAUGCUAUCUAUGAGCUUGUGGCCUGGGGCAGCUGCUUGUACCAUGGCCCUGCAUCCGAGUGCAGGCCCGCACAAGGGGCCCCAGCCAGCGUGGGAGGCAUGGUGAGAACCACGGGAGGGGCAUUUUAUGGCUGGUGGGGUGGCAGGCUGGAGGACUCAGGCAGACACAUCUUCCCCUCCUCCCUGCCAGGUACAUGGCCUCUGUGUCUGCUGCCACCACACAGCUGGUGCCAACUGUGAGCGCUGCCAAGAUCUGCACCAAGACCACCCAUGGCAUGCAGCAGAGCCUGGGCACCCCCAUGCCUGCCAGAGUAAAUGGCAUGCCCUAUUCUGCCUGGCCAUACCUGUCACAGGUCACCCCACCCCAUAUAUACCUCUUGUCUACCCCAAAAUGUGAGUGCCAUGGGCAUGCCCACAGCUGCCACUUUGACAUGGCCAUAUAUCUGGUGUCUGGCAAUGUGAGCGGAGGCGUAUUUGAUGCAUGUCAGCACAAUGCGGCUGGGCGCCAUUGUCAGCUCUGGCCGGCCCUUCUUCCACCGUGAUCCCCGGGAGGAUCCCCAUUCUCCUUUUUUGCUUUUGUGGAUCUGAGUCCUCUAACCCCUGAUUCCAACUCUGACCAUGAUCCUUCAGCUCCGUGGUGACCUCUGACCUAACUCUGUCCUCACUUCUGACCCCUGAAUAGCUUGCAACCGUGACCCUGUGGGUGCUCUGGAGGGGGAUUUGUAUGACACCCACACGGGUGAGACUCGUGGCCUUCUCUCUGGGCAGUGUCGCUGCAAAGGUCACAUCUGGGACCAACACUGUGACUCCUGUCAGCCUGGUCACUACGGCCUCAGCCCCACUCAAUCAGAGGGCUACCAGUGUGAGUGACCCUACGUCCUCCCUGUUCUGCCCCAAAUCACUGCCCUGAUGACACACGCAUCACCCCUAGCAGCCCCACUGGCCCCCUGAAAGCACCGUGCCUCAGCCUGCAGGUGUGACCCCUGCAGCCAGGUCCCUGGCACUCAUGCCUGUGAUCCCUCCAGCGGUGUCUGCCACUGGAAAUGCUUUGUCUCUGGACAGGACUGCAGCCGAUAUCUGGUGAGCCUUGACCCAUCCCCCAAUUUGAUUUUGAUGUUGGGUGCUGAGCUUCUAGGAGCUGACAAUUACAAAGCUAUGGUCAAUGUGACAAUGUAGCCUUGCUCAUGGGUGGGUGCCAAGGCCCUGAUCUGAUCACCAAGAUCAGUACUACCUUGGCUGACUGAACCAUCAUAUGCCCUCAGGAGAGAGCUUUGGGAGCAUAAGAAGAGAAGACGAUUAAAUAGGUCAUAACAGUAUUAGAUACUGGGUUUAAAGAUGUUUCAUUGUGAACACGUUUGGAGGAAGACUCAUUCCCAGGGACAGCGUGAUCCUCUUCUAGCCUCUCUUUGAGCACUAUGAACGCUUUGACUUUUGUUUAACCCUAGCUGCAUCCUUAUCUCUUUCUUUCCUCCUCUUAGUAAAGCUGUGCAGGGGUACACAAGAGUCUUCUUUCUCCCCCUCAGUUGCAGGCAGAGGAGCAUUCAAGUCCUGCCACUCACUCCCGCCCCUGCUCCCUUCCCACUCCUUAACCCCAACCCCUGUACCAGACAAUCCCGGUACAACACCCCUCCUUACAGGAGGCAGGUCCUAUCCAGAUCUCAUUGCCUGUCCUCCCCCCACAACCAGCCACUCUCCUGCAGCCGGAAUUCUGGGGUCUGAGCAGUGACCCCCCAGGCUCCUGGCCCUGUGACUGUGACUUUGGGGGUGACUACAGCAACAGGUACAGGGCAGGACUUGAGGGUCAAGGGUCAGACAGCGGGGAUCAGGAGUUGACUUGGCCCGCUCAUCCGUCUCCAUCCUCUCUCAGGUAUUCUGCAGGAGAGGGCCUCUGCCUGUGCCGCCCUCACCUCCAUGGCCACCACUGCCAUGAACGUCAAUCUGGGCAUUUCUGCACUCUCCUGGACGAGGCCAUGACUGAGGCUGAGCUUAGCCAGGAUCUCUAGUCGGCCAAUCCCCGACUGCCUGGAGCCUCCUGGCCAACCUCUCCCCACUGUAUAUGAGCCCCAGGGACCUCUGCUGGCUGGCUUCAGCUUCGGCCUCAGAGACAGCAUAACCCUUGAUGUGCCUUCCACCCUGCCUGGCAAGCCCAUCACAGCCGCCAGCUGCCCAAGGGCUGUGGCUCUAUCCAGACCUUUCUGCUCUGAGCCUGGAACACACUACUCCAUGAUCCUGCGGCUGUGGCAGACCAAGGGUGUUUAGAGGCCUGCAAGAGGUUGUGUUCCUGCCUCGGGUAGAAGAGUUGCCUGGACUGCGGUCCAUGGACCCCAGGGCCAUGCAGCACCUGCAGGAGCUUCGCAAGGCAGGCUGCAUGGAAGCAGCGAGGAAGGGCCCCUCCAGCACUAUGCCUGCAGCCUGCACCCACCUGGUCUGCAGCAUCUCAGCCUUGCUCCAUGGAGGUGGCCUUGGUGAGUGUGCACCCCUUAGUGAAGGGGCUGCGGGGGUACCAUGAGGUUCAUCUUGUCUUCCUGUUUCUCCUGCCAGCAUGUGAGUGCCACCCUCUGGGUUCAUUGAGCACUGAGUGUGCCCUGCUGGGUGGACAGUGUCCCUGCUGUCCCCACGUUGUUGGUCGUACCUGUGACCAUUGUGUGCCUGGGACAUAUGGCUUUGGGCCCACUGGCUGUAGUGGUGAGUCUUCAGGGCCAGUGGGUGUGAGGGGCAUGGCUUGAGCACCCUGCUACUCCCCACAGAAUGCUGCUGCCAUGCUGAGGGUGCCACCAGUGCCAUCUGCAACCCUCUAAGUGGGCAGUGCACAUGCUGGGCAGGCCUUGCCGGUCAUCGCUGUGACCGCUGCCUCCCUGGCUGGUGGGGAUUCCCACAUUGCCAGCCGUGUGCCUGCAAUGGGCAUGCUGAGUUGUGCCGUCCUCUUACGGGCAUCUGCCAGGCCUGCCAGGGGGCCACCACUGGCUGGCACUGUGAGAGGUGAGCGCUGCCACUGGGAGGAUUGGGCAGGAGUUAUGAUGAGUGGGCCAGCCCCACCCCAAGUGCUUCUGCCCCCAGGUGCCUGGACAGCUACUAUGGAGACUCCAUCCUGGGCUCAGGCCAGCAGUGCAGGCCCUGCCCCUGUCCUGGGCACCCUGGCUCUGGCCUCUAUCAUGGGAGUUCCUGCCACGUGGACAAUGUGAAUGGGCGUGUCCUGUGCCUCUGCGCACCUGGCUAUGCAGGUCCCCACUGUGACCGCUGUUCCUCCGUCUACUUCGGGCACCCUUGGCCAGAAGGGAACCCCAGAAGGAGUCCAUCUGUGCUAGCCCUGCCAGUGCAACAACAAUAUCGAUCCCCAUGACCCCGCCACCUGCAACCCCCACAGCGGACGAUGCCACCAUAGCCAUGGCCCUGGCUGUGCCCACUGCAGGCCUGGCUUCCAUGGCAGUGCCCUGUGCCCAGGGGGCUGCCAGGGUGAGUGUGUGGGUGGGAGCGUCCCAGGAUGGGGGGGUAGGUUCUCCCCUCCACAGAGCCUGCCAAGUCUUCCCUUCCCUCAGGCUGCAGCUGUGAUCCCUGGGGCACUGUUCCUGUAUGGUGCCCAGCUGGGGCCAAAGCCUGCUUCUGCAACCAGGUCAGCAGGCAGUGCCCCUGCUGCCCUCACACACUGGGGUGAGACUGCAAAUGCUGUGCUCCCCUCUUCUGGAACCUGGAGGACCCCCGGGGCUGGGAACCCUGUGGCUGCCAUACCCAGCAGACUUUGCAGCUGGGGUGUCACUUAGUGAGUGAGCCCAGUGGCACAUAGCAUGUGGCAGUGCCUGGGUGUGAGUGAACGUGUGCAUACCUAUGACAAGGUGUGACUUAUGGCUGAUGUGAGUGUCCCUGUGACUACCAGCACUAUGUGUAGCUACAAACAGCUGUGUGAGUCUGCGCUCCUGUGUGAAUUAACUGUGAGCAGGUGGUAGGGCCUGGGGGAAAGUGGAUAUGAGACUGCGUGUGCCUGAACCCAUGUGCAGCAGUGCGUUAGUGUGUGUGUAAACCGCUGUGACAGAGUCAUGGCCAGCGGAGUGAGCAUGGCAGGGGUGGGGGCUGGGGGGGAAGCUGAGGAGGCACAGCAGAAGGGGGUGGCCACGGAAGGUGAGUGUUUCCAGGAGGGUGGGUGGCCCCUGUGUGAAAUGAGGACUGAAGCCUGUUCUUGGGUCCUCGGCGAGGAGGGGGGCGGGAGUCAGAUCCAAGAGUUGAGGGAAGCAUGGGGGUGAGGGCUUGGGAUAGUGGGGCGCAUGGCUUACAACAUAGAGAAACAAAGGGCAGCAGGCCAAGAGAAAAGACAUACCCAGGCAGUGCAAAGUAAGGGUUGGCAAUGAGGGAAGGUGGGAAGUGGCUGAGGGAGCCAGGCCAGAGGAAGUCUUCAGGCAGGGAGAAGCCCUUAGCCAAGGGCAAGUAUGGGUGCUUCUUGGGGUAGGAGCGGGACUGGGAGAAGACAGCGCAUGUGGUGUAUGCAUGCCACCUCUGAGCACUUGUGUGCCCCCUCCCCCCGCAAGUUGGCCCUGGUGACUGGCCUGUGCUCUCUUCCUCCAGGUCACAGGUCAGCACCUCUGCUGGGCAGGAUUUGGGGGCCGCAUGUGCUCUUAGUGUCAGGAUGGGUAUUGGGGUGACCCAGGCCAGGAGUGCAGAGGUGAGAGAGCGCUCACACAGUCCACCACCAGGGACGAGGCUGUCCUGCAGGGGGAAUUGUGGGGAAAUAGUUGGGGUUUUCCUGAAGAAGAAUACAACAUGUUUAUUGUGUUCCCCCCAAAACUUAAAUACUCAUGAAAACGACUGUAGGGAGACAGCAUUGGCAAGGCCAGACUGGGGAUACCCACAGAGAGGAUACCUUGGGUGGCUCUUUCCUGACUGCCCCCUGCCAUCCCUGACCCUGGCUGACCCCUGGCUAGACUGUAGAGGCUCUGGAGACUUGUGCUGUUUCCCCAUAAAAAGGCUGCUGUACAGUACAGCCCCUCAGCCAGGGUGGGUGGCAGUGCUCAUGGCAGAUCUAAGCAGUGGCUCAGGCCAGGGCUAGUGUGCGCCCCCACACUCACACAGGGGCCUCAUAAUCCUUCAGUCACCUAGAGGUGAGCCUGGGGCAAGUGUCGUCUCUCCCUGCCCUGACCUGUCUCUUCCCCACAGCCUGCGCCUGUGACCCACAGGGCUCCAUCUCACCCAGUUGUGACCCGCACACGGGCGCCUUCCUUUGCAGAGAUGGCAUCUCAGGGCUGAGGUGCUGGGUGUGUGCCCAUACUUCCAGAGGUGGCUUCCCACGUUGCAUAUCCUGCCGUACUUGCUUCACCCCCUGGAAUCAACAGCUGGCUCUGCUUUAGCCGCAGCUGAAAGCUGUGGCCCAGGAGGCAGCUGUCCUACACAAGGGGAUGCCUGGCUGGGGGCCUGGGGGCCAUGGUGGAUGCCUGCAAGCCCUGGAGGGGGUACUACAGCAGACACAGGCACUUCUGGAGAUUCCCUCUCUCCCUCUGUGGGAACCCUGCAGCAACUUACAGAGUGGACAGCUGGACCCAGGCAAGGGAUCUGGAGUCAGCAGGGAGGGAAUCCCUUGCAGCUUUCCAAGAUCAGGGAUUCACAGGGUCACAGGUUGGCCUGAGUUCUGGGUCUGGGAGUCAUGUGGGUUUCCUUGAGCAAAGGAUCUUGGAGCAGUGGGCAUCUCUGGCCAGACUGAUGCCCGAUCUCCCUACAGGAGGGAAUUGACUUCAUUGGCCCAGACACUGCAGGCCACAGAACAGGUUGUGGCCGACUAUAGUCUGUGGGUCAGGAAGCAACGUGAACACCUGGAAGCAUUAUCCUGGGAGCUAGACUGUGUCAAGGACUUGGCCUGGACCAAAAGGGCCGUAGGAGCCCAAGAUGCUGGGGCCCAGGCCUCCUCCGCUGCCCUGCUUUCCCAGGAGGCCAUACUCAGAGCUCAGGCUGUGGCCACAUUAGGACAACCAGACAGCAUCCUGGGGCAGGCCCGAGAGGCCCAGCAGUGGACAGAGCAGCUGCUUUGGGGGACGGGCCAGCUGACAAGGACACCUCUGUGGGGGCUGAAACUGAAGGGGCUGGUCAGCAAGUUCCAGAUGCUGCACCUGCAGCUGCUGGGGCUUUCUGUCAGAGCUGGAGUGGUGGGUGGGGAUGUAUAUCACAGUUGGGGGGUUGCCAAGGCAAGAACUCUCUUACAGGGGUAUCCUGAGUGUAGGGCAACAGGGGCUCUGGGACGUACACUCCUCACUGGGUUCCUCAUCUCGCUUGCAGGAAUGCAGGGGUCGGGGACUUGGGCUGGCUGUGUUCCUGCACUCUGUGGGGUUCCCACUUGCCCUGGGGCCCUGCCCAAGGCCCAGUGGGCUCUGGUUGCCUCCUGGAACUCCUCCCACAGCCUGGACAUAGUAGUCCCAGCCUUGGAGCAGCAUCAGCAACUGGUUCAGAGUCAUAGAGGCCAUGGGUGGAAGCCAUGGGGCAAGUCACAGAGGACCAUGGCUUGGCCACAGGGUGGCAGGAGACACAUUCCACUUGUGACUCAUCCCUACCAGCUGCAGCAAAUCCAGGCCACAGUAACCCCCUCAGAAACUCAGGCACAGAAGACAUGGCAUCAUGCAAGAGGGCCCUGAGGCAUGGCUGCCAUGGCCCAUGUGCAAGGGACUGUGCAGGCCAUCCAGCGCUUCCUCAUGAGUAUAUGUCUGCUUGUCACAUUUCUGUUCACAGCUGAGGGCAAGGGCAGGUGGGCAUCCAGGACACUGCCGUGGUACUCCUUCCAGAAUGAUGAAUACUCAUAAAGGGUGACCAGGGGUCAGGUGGAAGCACUGGUGUGCUGGUAAUGUUUUUAACAACUGGCAGGAAAUCAAGGGGAACUGAUUUGUAGCAUUUUUCCAAUUUCCAUGGUGUAAACAAUCCCACCAUGACUGAUUUCAAUCUGGAAACCCUGGUGGCAUAGUGGUUAAGUGCUACAGCUCCUAACCAAAAGGUCAGCAGUUCAGAUCCACCAGGCGCUCCUUGGAAACUCUAUGGGGCAGUUCUGCUCUGUCCUAUUGGGUCGCUAUGAGUCGGAAUUAACUUGACGGCAAUGGGUUUGGUAUUUUUGGUUACUAUUUAAUGACCGUUUUGCAAAAUUCCUGAAGAUCUAACAAUUGACCGUUGCAAGCCUCCAGCACACCGUUGGACAAGAGUGUCAGGGACAGAGUCAAUGAGAGGCCAGGGUCAAGGGUUGUUGGGUCAGGGAUCAGGGCUCAGGUCCUACCCUACUCCCCACAGACAAAGGUGCGAAUGUUUUGAGUGUAGAGCUGGUGGUGUGGCAUGUGCUGGCAGUGCCCCACCCCCAAUGCGGGGCUGUAGGUGUUACCCUCCUGCUGGAGCAGAUCUAUGGUUACCUCUGUGCACCAGAUGCUGUGGGCCAGGAGCUGCCCAGAGCUGAAGGCAUCCUCCAUCAGGCACAGCAGAUCAAGCGAAGGGCCAGGAGGCUGGAGGUAGAAGUCAGAGGGUGGGGAGGGAAGGGAUACCCAAUUGAGGAUCUGUAUCUUUCAGAGAGGGCACAGCCAAGGCCCGGGACCAAGUGCUGAACGUUCUGGGGGCACUAGCUGAGGUGGGAAGUCACACGGAAGCUGCAGAACAAGGGCUCUGGGCAGCAAAGCAGGCACUUUGAGGCCUGGAGGCCAGUGUGCAGGAGGUGAUACCCUACCAGAACCCCUUUGGUCCUUCAUACCUCUUGUUCAAUGGGUAUAGUGAUUCCCAUUCCCCCCUGAGAUCCUUGAUCCACUGUUAUGCUAUGGUGCUACUGAAUACCCUGACCAUGCAAACACUCAACCUAGUUGCUACCGUGCUGUGACCUCUCUGUGACCCCCCCGAACUUUGCUCCAGAUGGCAGGGCACCAGACUGAGAUGGCGGUGGCGUGGAUGUGGCCCCGGUCCUGGGGCGUGUGUCCAGUGCAGCUGAGGCCCUGAGGAUGCAUUUGGCCCUUAGAGGAAUGCCCAGGAGGCAGAAGAACAGGCAGCAAGGGCCACAGGCACGGCUGGGGGCCUGGGCAAGGUGACGUAGGGAACAGUGGGUGUUGAGGCCUCGGGCACUCCUCUGGAAUAGUGGGAGGUGCAAUUUAGGCUGGGGCCGGGAUAGGCUGGGUUGAGGCAGGAACUUAGUUCCAAAACUCCCUACCCCCCAGGAACCUCGGGCCUCAGUGGGGUGGGGUUUUAUGUCCAGCCUUUCUUCUAGGAGUUGCAGGUGGCCUGGGUUGGGUGUGACAGAGUUGCUGGAGGGCGUUCUUGGCCUGGUCACCACGGUGCAGAAUGUGGGAGAGCUGGUGCAGCGGGCACAAGCUGAGGCCCAGGAACUGCUGAAGCAAGCACAGAGCACCUGGACCCAUCUGGAGGGUGCUUGGCUGGGCCGUAGUAGGAGACAUAGGAGCAGAGCAGGCAGGGGGUGCGGGGGGCAUGGGGGUCAGCAUGGGGUCUAGGUCAGUUCCAGACUCAUGGAGGGAUCAGGGCUGGGGCCAAAAUUCAGAACAGGGGUCAGGUGUUGAUUAGGAUCAGGGCUGGCUUAGGGCUGGUGCUACAGUCAGGGCCAAGGUCAUGAAAGGGAUGAGGGCUAGAGUCAGAACCUUGCUCAGGCAGCCUGGUCUCCAGGGUUGGAGUAUCGCCUGGCGCAGAAGGAGCAGGCACUGGGCAAGAAGGCAGCCACCCUUUGGGCCCUGGAGCAGCAGGCAGCAGAGCUGCUUGAGUACAUGCGACUAGGUGCCAACACCUAUGGUGCCUGCUGACUGCCAUCAGUGGAUGCUGGCAAGAGGAACCCUGGAAUCACCUGGGUAAUUCAAAGUCAUGCCAGACUGAUUCAGGAAUCCCCUGACCUUGAAAGACCAGAGAGUGCCCCCUGAAUGCCUGCUGACCCUGAAUGACUGACCCAUGUGUGACCUCAUGGUAUCUUCCAGUGAGCCUCUGACCUUGAGAAACAAGAAAGAUCAUGUAACUUUGCGAACCAGUGAAGCCAUCCAGUGCCCCUGUCCCUAAUACACUUUUAUCUCUGAGUGACCUCCUAAAAGUCUGAGUCACCUCUAGUAUUGCUGAACUUCUCAGUUUAACUACAGGAUUCCCAGGGUAGCCGGAUACUCCUACUCCAGAUGACUGGAGUAACUCCAAGUAACCCUGAAAGUCCAGCAGAUUGACAUCCUGUUUCCUGGCUCGUUUUGUGAAGGCCAGAUGAUUCUCCUGAGGAAACCCCAGUUUUCUUCCCUGGCCCGCAGC